rnacentral:rRNA from 1 species
GGAAGUAAGAUCCCUGAAAGAUGAUCAGGUUGAUAGGUCUGAGGUGGAAGUGUGGCGACACAUGGAGCUGACAGAUACUAAUCGAUCGAGGACUUAACCACAUUU